GGACACAGGGCUGUUGGGUUGUUUUCAUAUGAACUCCACAGAUGAAGCAUUACUUGGAACAGUCACAGGGACAUCAGGUUUGGAUGAUUUGGAUAAUGCAGUGCCUGGGCAAAACCCUUGACAGGGAAGGCUGGUAGCCAGGCACCCAGCGAACCCUGAACUGAUGCUCGGUGGCACCACCGGGCAGAGGGCCAGACUCAGUUGAGAAGAUGGAGAAAUGUAAUUAUUGAAGACAUGAUGCCACAGACAUCCUAGUUCCUUC
rnacentral:lncRNA from 1 species